rnacentral:rRNA from 1 species
GCUAAACGCGAAGAACCUUACCCAGGCUUGACAUCCCUGGAAGGUCUCCGAAAGGAGACUGUGCCUUCGGGAAUCAGGUGACAGGUGCUGCAUGGCCGUCGUCAGCUCGUGUCGUGAGAUGUUUGGUUAAGUCCAUUAACGAGCGCAACCCUUGUAAGUAGUUGAAUUUUUCUACUUAGACCGCCUCGGUAACGGGGAGGAAGGAGGGGAUGAUGUCAGGUCAGUAUUGCCCUUACGCCUGGGGCUACAAACACGCUACAAUGGCCGGUACAAAGGGCAGCCAACCCGCGAGGGGAGCAAAUCCCAUCAAAACCGGUCCCAGUUCGGAUAGCAGGCUGAAAUUCGCCUGCUUGAAGUCGGAAUCGCUAGUAACGGUGAGUCAGCUAUAUUACCGUGAAUACGUUCCCGGGUCUUGUACACACCG